AGUGAAUGCUGGCGGUAGGCCUAACACAUGCAAGUCGAACGGCAGCACAGUAAGAGCUUGCUCUUACGGGUGGCGAGUGGCGGACGGGUGAGGAAUACAUCGGAAUCUACUUUUUCGUGGGGGAUAACGUAGGGAAACUUACGCUAAUACCGCAUACGACCUACGGGUGAAAGCAGGGGAUCUUCGGACCUUGCGCGAUUGAAUGAGCCGAUGUCGGAUUAGCUAGUUGGCGGGGUAAGGGCCCACCAAGGCGACGAUCCGUAGCUGGUCUGAGAGGAUGAUCAGCCACACUGGAACUGAGGCACGGUCCAGACUCCUACGGGAGGCAGCAGUGGGGAAUAUUGGACAAUGGGCGCAAGCCUGAUCCAGCCAUACCGCGUGGGUGAAGAAGGCCUUCGGGUUGUAAAGCCCUUUUGUUGGGAAAGAAAAGCAGCAGGUUAAUACCCCGCUGUUCUGACGGUACCCAAAGAAUAAGCACCGGCUAACUUCGUG
rnacentral:rRNA from 1 species